UUAAGUUCAGCGGGUAUCCCUACCUGAUCCGAGGUCAAGAGUGUAAAAAGUACUUUUGGACGUCGUCGUUAUGAGUGCAAAGCGCGAGAUGUACUGCGCUCCGAAAUCAAUACGCCGGCUGCCAAUUGUUUUAAGGCGAGUCUACGCGCAAGGCGAGACAAACACCCAACACAAGCAGAGCUUGAAGGUACAAAUGACGC
rnacentral:misc_RNA from 1 species